UAAGAUAUUCUCGAUAUCGGUUCUAAGGGAAAUCAGCCCUUAGAGGAAACGGGGAAAGUCCGGUGUAAGUCCGGCGCUGUCCCGCAACUGUGAUGGGACUCUGUUGGUCUCUCAGUCAGAAUGCCCGCCGAUAAGUAACCUAUUGU
rnacentral:ncRNA from 2 species